AUUGAACGCUGGCGGCAUGCCUUACACAUGCAAGUCGAACGGCAGCACGGGAGCAAUCCUGGUGGCGAGUGGCGAACGGGUGAGUAAAGUAUCGGAACGUGCCCAGUCGUGGGGGAUAACGUAGCGAAAGUUACGCUAAUACCGCAUACGAUCUAUGGAUGAAAGCGGGGGAUCGCAAGACCUCGCGCGAUUGGAGCGGCCGAUAUCAGAUUAGGUAGUUGGUGGGAUAAAGGCUCACCAAGCCGACGAUCUGUAGCUGGUCUGAGAGGACGACCAGCCACACUGGGACUGAGACACGGCCCAGACGCCUACGGGAGGCAGCAGUGGGGAAUUUUGGACAAUGGGCGAAAGCCUGAUCCAGCCAUGCCGCGUGCAGGAUGAAGGCCUUCGGGUUGUAAACUGCUUUUGUACGGAACGAAAAGGUUUGGCCUAAUAAGCUGAGCUCAUGACGGUACCGUAAGAAUAAGCACCGGCUAACUACGUGCCAGCCGCCGCAGUAA
rnacentral:rRNA from 1 species